rnacentral:lncRNA from 1 species
AAGUUUGAUCCCAUAAGUGAUGAGGAAGUAUUAUAGGGAUAUUCUUCACAUAUUAAAGCUUAUAAGAUCUAUAACAAAAGAAUUAUGUGUGUAGAAGAAAGUGCACAUGUUAUUUUUUACUGAAACUAACAUUCUUCCUGAGAGGCAGAAACCAGAUAAUGAAGAAAUUGGCUGGUAAGAACAAUAACAACAACAACAACCACCACCCAGUAAAAUCCCAUAAGUGGGGUUUGAGGAGGAUAAUAUAUACGCAGACCUUACCCCUACCCCGAAGGAAUAGAGAGGCUAUCUUCGGAAGACCCUCGGCUUAAGAUAAUAAGAAAAAAAAAAGAGAGAAUAUUAGUGUCACCACAGAGAUCAUAUGAAAAGUAACAACAUAAAAUGCACAGAAAUAAUGCAAAACAAAAAUGAUGGUUAGUAAGUGGGUCCUAGGGCUUGUAAGAAACUAAAAUGAAAUAAUAGUCGUGCUUGAAACUGUAUCACAUCAAGGAACAUUUGAUGGACAAGUCCUUCUACCUUAGACAACCUGAUAGGGGAACUAAAAAGAGAAAAUUGAUCCUCAAACCUCGAGAGAACCUGUCCAUGAACUUGUUCCUCAGCAACAAAACAUUGAAGGAAUAUCUAGAGAAAACCAGUUGAUUGUCAAACCUUACAAGUGUAAAAGUUUUCAUCCCAUUGGGAACAUAAUCACUUAUACAACCUUGGUAAUCAAAACUAGAUCCUCUUUAAAGAACCUCCAUGCUUUUGAUGUAUUUUUAUCUCUUAUUAAAUCUAAAAAUAUUUUUGAGGCUUUGCAAGAUGCAUAUUGGGUGAAUGUAAUGCAGGAUGAACUCAACCAAUUUGAGAGAAGUCAAGUUUGGCAUAUGGUACCAAGACACAAAGAUAUAACCAUUUUUGGCACUAAAUGGGUCUUCAGAAACAAACUUGAAGAAGAAGGAACAACUACAAAGAAUAAGGAAAGACUGGUGGUUUAAGGAUAUAGUCAAGAUGAGGGCAUAGAGUAUGAUGAGACUUUUUCUCCAGUUGUAAGAUUGGAAGAAAUUAGACUCCUUGUAGCCUUUGAUGCUUAAAUGGAAUUCACUCUCCACCAGAUAGAUGUUAAGAGUGACUUCCUCAAUGGAUAUCUAAAGGAAGAAGUAUUUUUCAAGCAACCUCCUGGCUUUGAAAGCAAAAAAUGUCCUGAUCAUGUGUACAAGCUUAACAAGGCACUUUAUGCGAUCAAGCAGACUCCAAGAGCAUGGUACGAAAGAUUAUCUAAGUUCUUGCUUGAGAAUGACUACAAGAGAGGUAAAAUUGAUAAUACUUUUUUCUCGAAAGAAAAAAGUAAAGAUCUCUUGGUAGUUUAGAUAUAUGUUAAUGAUAUAAUCUUUGGAGCAACUACAGAUAAGUUAAGUAAAGAAUUUGCUAAGCUGAUGGAGAGUAAAUUUGAUAUGAGUAUAAUGGGUGAGCUUAAUUUAUUUUUAGGCUUACAAAUUAAAUAAAAUUUAAAUUAAACUAUGAUCCAUCAGCAAACGUAUGUGAAACAGUCGCCUAAAAAGUUUAAAAUUGAAGAUUUCAAAUAAAGUACACUCCUAUUGCAAUAACCACAAAAUUGGAUUUGGAUGAACCGGGUUCAUCUGUUGAUUAGAAGGUGUAUAGAGGAAUGAUUGACUCUUUGUUAUAUCUCACUUCUAGUAGACCUGGCAUUAUUUUCAGUGUAGGCAUUUGUGCUAGAUUUAAAGUAAAUCCAAAGGAGUCUUACUCGAAGGUUGUCAAGAGGAUUUAGUGGGAUAUGUUUAUGCUAAUUAUGCUUGUUUUCUUGUGGAUAGAAAGCACUUCAGGUAUAGAAUACUUUCUUCAUGUCUUGUGUCUUGGGCCACCAAAAAGCAAAAUUAUGUAGCUUUGUCUACUUCUCAACCUGAUUAUGUGGUUGUUGCUUCACGUUGUGCUCAUUGUUAUAAGUCAAACAACAAUUAAUAUACUUUGGAAUUGAUGUAGGUUGUAUCCCAUAUUUUGUGACAACUAGCUCAAUUAGUAUGACUAAGAACCCGGUUCAUCACAAAAGAACUAAGCAUAUAGAUGUUAGGCAUCCCUUUUUAAGGGAAAACUAUGAGAAGAGUUUGAUCAUUAUAGAAUUUUGUACUAUUGAUAAGAAAAUAGCUAACAUCUUCACACAUGCUUUGAGUAGAGAUCACUUUGAAAGGAAUACGUUCGAAUUAGGGAUAAUUAAGAUCACCUAAUGAAAUUGGUUCUAGCUCAAUGAUUGGUUAGAUAAUUUGUGAAUUUUAUAAAUAAUUAGAUUAGAUAUUGCUUAGUAUAAUACUUUCAUUAGUAUACUUUUACGCCAUGCGCUAAAAUGUCUCACCGAUCUGUAAUUAUAUUAUCUUUAUUUUCUUGGAAAUUUAAUCUUACACAAGAGAACUGUCAGUGAAGAACCUGGUUCAUCAAAAUUAUAAGGUAUGUAUUCUCCACUCUCCGUUUCAGAAUAACUAUAUUUGGGUCAUGAUAUAAAAGAAGUCCCACUCUAUCCCAACCUCUUUUUGAACCAAUCUAUUACCUAUGCACCAGUUUUACUAAACAAACUCCACCCACCAUAAUUACCUAAACUUUUGGGGAGGUGUCCAAUGUCUAUUAAAACUGACACUCCUAGGAUGAUUAGACUUCUAUACUCCAAAAAGCGGCCGUUACACACUAAAGAUUUCCUCUUUAAGCUGAAUAAACCUUACCUAUAUCUUCGCUUUUAAUCUUUGAUAAAUCAAGACUCCAAAUUCUCUCAACCUUCUCUCAUAUUUUCUACACUCAUCAAAUGGAAAACCGAUAUAAAAAUUGCAAGAUGAUUAAGAACCCUUCAUCGCCACCAAAAGAACCAUCACACAUACCUUAAACCACCCUACCUCAAGAAAGGACCUUUUAAGAUGCUUUCUUGUAUAAUAGUUGCUAGUAGAGAACAAACCAAGAAAAUAAAUAAGAAGUUAAAUGCCAGUCAAGUAGAGGAAUCCCAAAAAUUAGAUGAGUCCUCCAAGCCUGCAACUGAGGGAGAAGAACCAGUUUCAUUUCAAGCUGAACAGGUAACCUCUAGGUUUAAAUUCUCUAAUGUUGCUUCUCAGGUUGCUGAAAAUCUUGAGAAAAUUUUUGUUUUGGUUGGUACAAUUGUUGGUGUAGAGUCUGUCACACCUCUUUUUUACCUACACCCCGCAAGGGCGUAAAAGCAUUUUUUCAAAUAAAGGACAAUCAAAAUAGAAUUUAUUAUUAAAAUUUAGAGUCGUCACUUGGGAGAUUUAUGGUGUCCCAUGUCACGGGUUGAAUCCCAAAUCAAGGAAAUUAUUGACUCUGUUUAACAGUCCGUAAACCAGAAAUCUGAGUAAGGAAUUCUGUUAACCCGGGAGAAGGUGUUAACUCUAUUUGGCUUAUUUAUCUAAUUUUGAUACAUGUAUUAGUGUAUGUGCUUUUUAAAUUUGAACAUCUUUUUUUAUUAGUAUUUUUUAAAGAGAAUUUUAACGUCGUAAAAAUACGUCUCGAACCACGUCUCAUAAAUGCACCCGUGAUUUUUGACACAUUUCAAUUUCUUGAAAUUUAGAUUUGGGUCACAUAAAUGUGCACCCAAAUUUAUGAAAGUAAUAUUAUUAAAUGUCGGGCCUAAAGUAACCACCAUAUUAUUAAAUUUGCGGGAAGCCAUGAAAUUCAUUAAAUGGCACGUCCCGAGGUCUACAUAUUUUUUUAUAGAAAAACAAUUAAGAGGGCCAUGCAUUUGUGAUUUUGUUUGGCGCGGCGCACCUCAAUUUUAUUUAAAGAUAUCCUAAAACAAACUAUUAUUUUCUAUCGAAUUUUUCUCUAAAAGUGUCUAAUUAAUUAGUAUUGUUUAAGAAAUACUAUAUUUGGAGCCAUGACUUCCAUGUAAUUCACGUUUUCAGUAAUUUUUUGGGCUUGGAAGGCAGCCCAAGAAACGGGUAAUGUUGUUGCUUUUUAUUAUAACUUGCACAACUUUGGGCUUCUGAUAUAACAUUAGGCCCAGUGAAGAUGUUGAAUAUAACCUAGACUGCCCAGGCCUCAGAUUAAUUGAAUUAAAAGGGAAAUGAGCCUGGCUAUUCUUCAGCUGGGCCUGCUUUAAGUCCAAUUCUUAUAAACCAACUGACGUGAGCCGAAGCUUAUUCAAUAUUAACAAUGAAGCGAACAUAGGUGACCUAACGAUAUAUUUUGAAACAAAACAUGAUGUCAAUUAAUGGGGAUCAAUAUGUAAACUUAAUCACAUUUAUUAAUGGUUAAGAAGAGAAUAUCAUUUCAUUGGAAUAACAAAAAAAUGAUGAUGCUCGAUUUUCAGCCUAGCGCCUUAGUUUAUACAUUCCAAAUAGCUCCAUUACAGAUUGCAAAUAAAAAUAACUACUGGAUGUUUCACCUCGUUACUGAGUCAAAUUGUUUUUAAACAGAUGUAUGAUGUAGCGGACAUGAAAUUAACUACAACUAAUCAUGAAAUUACUCUAUCAACCUAUCAUGAAAUUAACUACACCUAGUCUUCAACUCACAUUGCUCGCAUAAAUCGGAGAAAUAGCAGCUCACAGAGUCUGGCACUGUGCAAAUUACUUAUAACAAUCAGUUACUUGCAUUCUAAUUAAAUUAAUCUACGAGCAUAUGCAAAGACAAGAAUAACAGAAAAACAGCCAACAAGAAUCAACUUGAGCCUUCUAUUUCAUCUCUCAAACCAGGCAUACAUUGUCAUGGAUUCAGGAUUUGUACCUGGAAUUGAAUAAAACGAUGAGAAAUGACAGUCAGCUGCAGUAGCAGAUCAACAGAAGUACAACUUAUAGCCAACAACAGCAGAUUCCAGUCCCAAAAGCCAAGGAGAUGUUUUAACGAUAAAUCCACCAGUCACACAACCAAAACAGCUUAAACAACACCCAACAACUUGAAAUUGAACCCAGAAAUGCACUCUGAAACUUCAGUAACCACAUAUUGAGCUAGAAGAUGCAAGUUAACAACUAAAGCUCGAAAGUAACCUUAGAUUUUCAAUAGGACAGUAUUUUUUGGAGUUUUCUACUGCUUUUUAUUUUGUAUUUUUGAAAGAACUAAGAUCUAAAAGAAGAAAAACUCUUCAAAUUUUGCUUGAACUACAUUUUUUUGGAUUUUUUUUUAGUUUUUGAAUUUCAAAUUUUAGAGGUUUGAGCUUAUGGAAGCUUUGGGGAAAAUUUUUCAAAUCAGAAACCUCCUUUUUUUAUUAAGGCACUAGACAUGUCU